rnacentral:lncRNA from 1 species
AGAGACAAGAGGGGGUUUAAAAUGAGGAACAAAUGCAAGAGAAAGGGGGGCCUGCAUCGCUAUCUUGGUUUUGAGUUUGCUCAGAAUCAGUUGGGGGCUUCUUCAUUAACAAGCACACUGUUAGAUGGCGUGCGCUCAUCACUAUCAUCCUCUUCCUCAACAUCUAUCGAAGGGUCAGUAUCCUCAUCAUUCUCUUUGGGUUCCACUUAUUCCUCUUCAACAUUGUUGCUCUCAUUAGGACGGUUAAGAGCAUCAUUUCCAGCCAAAUCAUUAUUAUUUGCAACAUCAUUACCAUCAUCAUGAAUAUUAAUAACAUUAUUAACACCAAAAUGGAAAUAUCCUCUGGCAAAAGGAUAUGAAGAACUAAUGCGAACAGAGACAGAAGGAAUUAGCUCCACAUAAGUGGAACGCUUAAUACCUCUUGAUCUCGAGGCUCGAAUGGUACCUCUAAAAUGAAUCUGAUGAACAUCAAACUCUCUUUCAUAACCCAGGCUGUCUAAUUUCCUCCAUUUGUUCAUUAAUCAUAUCCUCUACUUCCUGACUAUCAUGGGGGCAGCUAUUUCUGGUAUGGCCUAUAUUGCCGCAUCUGAUGCAGACCUUGCAUAUUCUUUCAUAGCAGAAGUCAACCCAUUACCUGACUUUGUCAUCCCUUUGAACGGUAUAGCCUGCAAUCAAAGGAAGCAAGGGGUUAAUGUUAACACGUACUUUAAGAAAUUGGAUGUUUAGAGGAUUUCUACCAUCGUCAUCGAUAUGGAUUACUCGCCCUACUAUUUUUCCCAAGCGAGUUGCAACUAUACUUGUUUAUGUCCGCCGGAAAAGUGAAAGGAUUUGAUUAAAAAUAUAAGUAUGAAAAUGAGCUUGGACAAAAAAUUAAGACUCAUUUAGAAAAUAGGUCGAGGCUCGGGUAAGACUUUUUUUGCCCGAGUCCGGCCCGGACCGAAUGUUCAAAAAAAACUUUUUUUUUUACUAUUUUGUUGUUAGUUUCUUGUUAUUUUUUCACUAUUUUGCUACCAUUUCACUAUUUAUGUUGUUACUAUUUUGUUGUUAUUGUUUGGAUAUAGUAUAAUUCUUGUUUUAUUAUUAAUUUUGUUACUAUUUUAGAGGUAUUUGCUUGUUAAGUUGCACUUAUAUUAGUGUUAUUUAAGGAUACAUAUUUUUUUUAAUUUAUUUUUAAUUUGUUGGGAAACAUUUAUUUUGAUAUUUUUAGUAUUUUUAAUGUAUUAUAUAUUUUUUAAAAUAAUAUAAAAAAAUUUAAUACAAGCAAGCCUGACCCAAAUUUUAGCAUUUUUAUCCGGGUCAAGCUUGGGUAAAAUUUUAAGCCCUUUUUUCAAGUCGGGCCUAAUAAACAAGCCUAAAAUUUUGGCUGGGCCCAGCCUAGCCCAUGAGCACCUUUAGUUGCAACAAAGGAAUUAAGAUAUUCAAUAGCAAGACCUAAUAUUUAGAUCCACACAUUUAGUGAGCUAAAGAGGUCCAACCUUGGGAAAUAAUUAGGGGCCCAUCUAACAGUCAUCGACAAGGCUCUAUCAACUGCCUAGAGACCUUUCCUUUGAAUGAGUUGAGGGUUAGAUAUAAGGUCAAAUCGAAAAUUUUAAAAAUACCAUCUCUAGAAGAAACAGUAACACGACCCUAAAGAUUCCAAAUCUUAAGUAUUUGUAAAAGGCAAAGAGAGAAAUUUUUAUAGUCAUGGAUGUGACCAAUUAAAUAGUGACUCUAAUUGGCUACACUAAGUUCAAGCUCUUAGAGAUCAAAGGGGGCAAUAGGCCCUCUUCUUAUAGCAACAUUGUUAUGGGGAUGUAACUGAACUUAAAGGGUGUAUUGCAUAGAGUUGCCUUCAUCGGCAAAAGACUCCAAUUCUGAACUUUCAAACCAACUGCAAUCUCUUAAAAAGUUGUUGCACAUCUUUGAUAGAAGGGUGAAAAGGAACAAUUUUAGAGGAAAAGAUAGUUCAAAUUGAUUAAAGGAGAAUGGGAGAGAUCGAUGAUUAGUUGGAAGAAAGGAUCGACUGGUGUCAAAUGUUCCAUACAGAUAAAAUUUCUAGCGUUUUAAGGGACUGAAAGCCAUGAUGGAGGGAGGAGGGAGAUGAAAGGGUAACCAAUCAGUAAUGGAGAGUUAUAGGAAAAGGGGAAAUAAUGAUGAAGAUGAAAAAGGAGAUGAAAGGGGAGGGGAGAAAUCGAAGAGUCAUAUAAUGAGGCAUUUAAGUAGAAAGAAAUAAAUGCAUAUAAUGUUUAGAAAAUUGAGACACGUAAAAGACGAGAGGUGAAGGAGGCAGAUCUUUGGCGGAGGGCUUAGGGAAAGAACCCUUAGAGCAGAGCUCUUUUGGAAGGAACUUGACAAAAAGUUAGUUUGUUUUCCAUCUAAAGCAACUAAGUAUUAUUAUUUAAAGGCCCGCAACGUAUUUGUUUCUUCAUUUGGCUCACCUUCAAGCAACGUUUGCUUACAAAUCCUAAAAGGGUAAGACGAGGAGUUGGGAAAAACAACGCAGUGGUUUUUAUAGACAAGAAUCUGAGGAGGUGUUGCAUGUUCUCAAAUAUUUCCCUGUAGCUAGGAGCAUUUGGGACAAGUUCAUUCUAGAAGGAAUGCUCCCUAUGUCACACCCCAAAAUUAGGCCUAAGAGUUUCGAGGGUAAAAUGGGAAUUUUAGCUCCUAUGUGUUUAGAAUUUUGUAACGUGGUAAACCAGAAAUACCUUCAUCUAUGACUUUUAGGAAAUUAAAUCAAUUUUUCCAAAUGAGUUUCAAAAUACCUUUAAUUUUGAAUGAGGACUUUUUUGUAAAAAGGUUCAAAAUAGGAGUAGUUAUAAAGCAAUUAUACCAAAGUUUUUAAAAUACCCUAUUUUCCCCUUCCAUCUAUAUUAAACUCACUAUACUUUUUCUCCAUCUUUUUGUUAUUGUCGUCCUUUACUUUCCCAAACCCCAAUCACUCAAUUUUAUUUUACAAACUUCAUUCCUUUAAUAUCUAUUAUUACCCAAUCAAUAAACCUCCAUAGAACUUCAAGAAAAACACACAAAAAAAUCAUUGAUUUUGUCAUCUCUCAAGCUUGUGGGUUUUUCUUAUUUUCAACCAAAUGUCCUUUUUUCUCCCAUCGAAGGUAACAAAUUAUUUUCCUAUUAGUUUUUUAUGUUAUCUAGUCUUUUAAAUAGAGUUUUUACCCAUUAAAUCGAAUGUUUUGAAUAAAAGUCAAAUAUUGGGAGGAUUUUGAGAAUUUGAAUAAAAACAAGGUUUCAAAGUGUUUUUCCAUUAGUUUUGAUGUGAUUAGAAGGUUUCUAAACAUUUUUUAAAGUUUUGUUAAAAAAUUGGAAUCGAUUAUAGGCAAAGGGAAUGAGUAAAUAUUAAAAUAUUUGAGUUUCAAGUUUGCUAGUCAAAUUUCAGUUUCAUAAAGAAUAUAACUUAGGCUUGCGUUUUUGGUAGGUGUAUGUGAGUCUUUAGCUGAAUGUUGAUUGUGUUUAUUGUGUGAUUUAUUUUGGUGAAGAUACGAAGUGUUGGAGCCUUCAGCGAGCAAGGUGAAAGGCAAGGAAAAGCUAGUUUAUGCUUUCGGCAAUCAGGCAAAAGCGUGAUCGGUGAGUGUUUGGAAUCGUUGCUAGUAGACACAAUUCAUAGUGUUAAUUAGGAGUUUCAGAAUAGCCUAAACCCCUAUCCUAAAUUUCGAGUGUAAGCUUUCUAUUUCCCUUAUUUUAUUUUGGCAAUUUAUGUGAUUAUGUGAAUAAUUGUGGAUUGAUUAUUAUGAUGCGAUAGUGUGAUAUGAGACAUGUGUGAUGACUAUUGGAAAUUGUGUUGUAUUAUGGGCAUGAUGUGCAUGCCAAAUGACAGUAAUAAUGAUAUGCUAAUAAUACAAAUAUGCAACGAAGGUGAGCGAAAUUUCGGUAAGUACAUAAGUGUUGAAUUGUGGAAUGUGAUAUUAUUGUGACAGGUAAUAUGUGAGAAUACUUGUUUGUGAUAUAUGAUGUAUUGAUUUUAAUGCACACAUAUGUGGUUGGAUAGGUGAUGGUUCAAUGAGAAUUAUUGUGGCACUUAAAGUGCAGUUAAAUGUGAAUUCGAUAAGCAUGCAUUGUGUACAAGUUUGUGAUGUAAAUUGAUGAACAUGAAUAGAGAUGAUGUGCAUUAAAUCAUUAAUUAAAAUUGUGGAAUUUUGGAUAUUUUGGUUUUUUGAUCUCUUCAAACUAUUGGAUAUAGUUGGCAUGCCAUAAGAUUGUGAGUACUCACUCUUGUGUUUUGUGAUUUAGGAAUUGAGGCCCUAGGACAGUUUGGAGAGAUAAGGGAAUGUGAGCCAAAUCCAUUCACCGGGAUAUGUUGGUGUGUUGAAGAGUGUUAGCUAAAUGCUACGCUUUUGAGAUAUGUUCAACUCUACAAGUCAUUUGGUAUGUUAGAGAUCUAUGUAUCCGAUGUGUGCUGGUACAACCCACUUUUAUGUUUCAUAGC